AGAGUUUGAUCCUGGCUCAGGAUGAACGCUAGCGGCAGGCUUAAUACAUGCAAGUCGUGGGGCAGCAGGUCUGUAGCAAUACAGAUGCUGGCGACCGGCAAACGGGUGCGGAACACGUACGCAACCUUCCUUUAAGUGGGGAAUAGCCCGGGGAAACCCGGAUUAAUACCCCGUAAUAUUAUGAAGUGGCAUCGCUUUAUAAUUAUAGCUCCGGCGCUUAAAGAUGGGCGUGCGCCUGAUUAGGUAGUUGGCGGGGUAAUGGCCCACCAAGCCUACGAUCAGUAACUGGUGUGAGAGCACGACCAGUCACACGGGCACUGAGACACGGGCCCGACUCCUACGGGAGGCAGCAGUAAGGAAUAUUGGGCAAUGGACGCAAGUCUGACCCAGCCAUGCCGCGUGGAGGAUGAAGGUCCUCUGGAUUGUAAACUUCUUUUAUCUGAGAAGAAACCCGGAAAUUCUUUUCCGGUUGACGGUACCAGAUGAAUAAGCACCGGCUAACUCCGUGCCAGCAGCCGCGGUAAUACGGAGGGUGCAAGCGUUAUCCAGAUUCACUGGGUUUAAAGGGUGCGUAGGUGGGUUGGUAAGUCCGUGGUGAAAUCUCCGAGCUUAACUCGGAAACUGCCGUGGAUACUAUCAAUCUUGAAUACUGUGGAGGUAAGCGGAAUAUGUCAUGUAGCGGUGAAAUGCUUAGAUAUGACAUAGAACACCGAUAGCGAAGGCAGCUUGCUACACAGUCAUUGACACUGAGGCACGAAAGCGUGGGGAGCAAACAGGAUUAGAUACCCUAGUAGUCC
rnacentral:rRNA from 1 species